UGAUCGUUGGUCAAAGUAGCUGCACGUGC
rnacentral:sRNA from 1 species